GACGAACGCUGGCGGCGCGCUUAACACAUGCAAGUCGAACGGAAAGGCCUGCUUUCCCUUGUGGAUUGCGGGUACUCGAGUGGCGAACGGGUGAGUAACACGUGAGUGAUCUGCCCCCAACUUGGGUAUAAGCCUGGGAAACUGGGUCUAAUUCCCGAUAGGACUGCAGGGUGGUGCCUGUGGUGGAAAACGAUUUUCUAGUGGUUGGGGAUGAGCUCGCGGCCUAUCAGCUUGUUGGUGGGGUAAUGGCCUACCAAGGCGACGACGGGUAGCCGGCCUGAGAGGGUGGACGGCCACAUUGGGACUGAGAUACGGCCCAGACUCCUACGGGAGGCAGCAGUGGGGAAUAUUGCACAAUGGGCGGAAGCCUGAUGCAGCGACGCCGCGUGGGGGAUGACGGCCUUCGGGUUGUAAACUCCUUUCGACCGCGAGGAAGCCACCUGGUUGGAAGGGUGGUGACGGUAGUGGUAGAAGAAGCACCGGCUAACUACGUG
rnacentral:rRNA from 1 species